rnacentral:rRNA from 1 species
GACGAACGCUGGCGGCGUGCCUAAUACAUGCAAGUUGAGCGAUGAAGAUUGGUGCUUGCACCAAUUUGAAGAGCAGCGAACGGGUGAGUAACGCGUGGGGAAUCUGCCUUUGAGCGGGGGACAACAUUUGGAAACGAAUGCUAAUACCGCAUAACAACUUUAAACAUAAGUUUUAAGUUUGAAAGAUGCAAUUGCAUCACUCAAAGAUGAUCCCGCGUUGUAUUAGCUAGUUGGUGAGGUAAAGGCUCACCAAGGCGAUGAUACAUCGCCGACCUGAGAGGGUGAUCGGCCACAUUGGGACUGAGACACGGCCCAAACUCCUACGGGAGGCAGCAGUAGGGAAUCUUCGGCAAUGGACGAAAGUCUGACCGAGCAACGCCGCGUGAGUGAAGAAGGUUUUCGGAUCGUAAUACUCUGUUGGUAGAGAAGAACGUUGGUGAGAGUGGAAAGCUCAUCAAGUGACGGUAACUACCCAGAAAGGGACGGCUAACUACGUG